AUGAUUUCUUAAAAGAAGGCCAUGGUUCAAACGCAAAGAAAUAAAACAUGCUCACUGGAGAGGAAAGAAUAUAAUUCUUUAAUAAAGGAAAAGAAACUAACACGGAGCAGACUCGAAAUACUGGGGUUUCAAGUCUGCUGGCCUUCAUAGUGGAACUAAACCUGCAGCUGUCCUGGGCGUCCAGCUUGUCAACUCAUCCUGCAGAUCUUGGCAGUUGUCAGCCUCCAUAAUUAUGAUUCGCUUAGCCUC